rnacentral:rRNA from 1 species
UACAGAGGGUGCGAGCGUUGUCCGGAAUCACUGGGCGUAAAGGGCGCGUAGGUGGCGGCCCAAGUCCGUGGUGAAAGCUCGCCGCUUAACGGCGAGUCGGCCACGGAGACUGGGUGGCUCGAGCACUGUAGGGGCAGAUGGAAUUCCGGGUGUAGCGGUGGAAUGCGUAGAGAUCCGGAAGAACACCAGUGGCGAAAGCGGCUUCCUGGACCAGUACCGACGUUCAGGCACGAAAGCGUGGGGAGCAAACAGG